UAUAGACACAGAUUGCCCAUCAUUGACUCUCAGAGACUGCCAGAGGAGGGUAGUGACCUUGGUGUGCAACCCAGCAGAAAGUCCUGAUAUUUAACCAGUCCAGAAGAUCCCAGUGAGGGAUGGGAAAAUGCCCAUAGUGAUCCUUGGAGACCGUUGUUACUCUGGCUCAUGAAGCCUCAGGCUGGGAGCCUACAUGUCAGAAAGGGACGCUUCAACAACUGAUUCAGCAGACACUGAGUUAUGUGCCAGUCCAGUUCCCAUUGAUUGCCUUCAGUGAAGCAGAAUGAAUGCUGAAACCCACUCUUGUUCCAGCAAGGUGAGGCACCUUUUGAAAUCUUAAGAGCUCCCUGCAGCAACUGAGGGAGUAGCUAUCUGAGCACUUUAAAGAAAAAAUGUUCCUAGAGACUUUCCCAAAGGCAUAUGCUGGA